rnacentral:rRNA from 1 species
AUGGACUUUAUCACGGGAUUACCCAGGACUCGUUCAGGCUAUGACUCGAUAUGGGUUGUAGUCGAUCGUUUGACGAAGGUAGCUCAUUUCAUCCCAGUGAAGACCACUUACACAAGUGCUAAGUUGGCAAAGAUAUACAUGACCAGGAUCGUAUGUCUGCAUGGAGUUCCAAGGACCAUUGUAUCAGAUAGAGGAACCCAGUUUACCUCAAAGUUUUGGAAUCAGUUGCAUGAGACUCUGGGAACCAGGCUAGAGUUCAGUACAACUUUUCACCCGCAGACAGAUGGGCAGACUGAGAGAGUCAAUCAGAUUUUAGAGGACAUGUUGAGAGCUUGUGCACUAGACUAUGGAUCUAGUUAG